rnacentral:rRNA from 1 species
ACGAAGGGUGCAAGCGUUAAUCGGAAUUACUGGGCGUAAAGGGUGCGUAGGCGGUGAGUUAAGUCUGUCGUGAAAUCCCCGGGCUCAACCUGGGAAUGGCGAUGGAUACUGGCUCGCUAGAGUGUGUCAGAGGAUGGUGGAAUUCCCGGUGUAGCGGUGAAAUGCGUAGAGAUCGGGAGGAACAUCAGUGGCGAAGGCGGCCAUCUGGGACAACACUGACGCUGAAGCACGAAAGCGUGGGGAGCAAACAGGA